UACAUGAGUAACAUCCCUCUUUCCUUGGAAUAACGAUUGGAAACGAUCGCUAAUACCAAAUGAGAAAAUCUAGGACAACCUAGAUCCUUCAAAGUGGGGGCCCCUUCGAGGCCUUGCGGAAAGAGAAUGGCUCAUGGGAUAUCAGCUUGUUGGUGUGGUAAUGGCGCACCAAGGCUAAGACGUCUAGGCGGAAUGAGAGGUUGACCGCCAACACUGGGACUGAGACACUGCCCAGACUCCUACGGGAGGCUGCAGUCGAGAAUUAUUCGCAAUGGGCGAAAGCCUGACGAUGCGACGCCGUGUGGACGAUGAAGGCCUUUGGGUUGUAAAGUCCUUUCGCCAGGGAACAAGAAAGAGUUACGAACAAUAACUCAAUUUGAGCGUACCUGGUAAAGAAGCACCGGCUAACUCCGUGCCAGCAGCUGCGGUAAUACGGAGGGUGCAAGCAUUAAUCGGAUUUAUUGGGUGUAAAGAGCAUGUAGGCGGAUAAGUCAGUCAGAUGUGAAAUUUCGAAGCUCAACUUCGAAGCUGCAUUUGAAACUGCUUGUCUAGAGGAUAGACGGAGAAAACGGAAUUCCAAGUGUAGCGGUGAAAUGCGUAGAUAUUUGGAAGAACACCGGUGGCGAAAGCGGUUUUCUAG
rnacentral:rRNA from 1 species